rnacentral:rRNA from 1 species
AUUGAACGCUGGCGGCAUGCUUUACACAUGCAAGUCGAACGGCAGCGCGGGCUUCGGCCUGGCGGCGAGUGGCGAACGGGUGAGUAAUAUAUCGGAACGUACCCAAGAGUGGGGAUAACGUAGCGAAAGUUACGCUAAUACCGCAUACGAUCUAAGGAUGAAAGCAGGGGAUCGCAAGACCUUGUGCUCCUGGAGCGGCCGAUAUCUGAUUAGCUAGUUGGUGGGGUAAAGGCCCACCAAGGCAACGAUCUGUAGCUAGUCUGAGAGGACGACCAGCCACACUGGGACUGAGACACGGCCCAGACUCCUACGGGAGGCAGCAGUGGGGAAUUUUGGACAAUGGGCGCAAGCCUGAUCCAGCCAUGCCGCGUGCGGGAAGAAGGCCUCGGUUGUAACGC